GGGUGCAUAUAGCUCAGUGGUAGAGUAUGUGCUUGGUGUGCACAAGGUCCUGGGUUCAAUUCCCAGUGCCUCUG